AUUGAACGCUGGCGGCAGGCUUAACACAUGCAAGUCGAACGAGCGGCGGACGGGUGAGUAAUGUCUGGGAAACUGCCUGAUGGAGGGGGAUAACUACUGGAAACGGUAGCUAAUACCGCAUACCAUCGGAUGUGCCCAGAUGGGAUUAGCUAGUAGGUGGGGUAAUGGCUCACCUAGGCGACGAUCCCUAGCUGGUCUGAGAGGAUGACCAGCCACACUGGAACUGAGACACGGUCCAGACUCCUACGGGAGGCAGCAGUGGGGAAUAUGGCACAAUGGGCGCAAGUCUGAUGCAGCCAUGCCGCGUGUGUGAAGAAGGCCUUCGGGUUGUAAAGUACUUUCAGCGGGGAGGCGUUACCCGCAGAAGAAGCACCGGCUAACUCCGUGCCAGCAGCCGCGGUAAUUC
rnacentral:rRNA from 1 species